rnacentral:ncRNA from 1 species
UUUCACUAAGGAUAUGUUUUUUUCACAUAAGAAAUUUCCUGUGAAGAACAGAAUGGACUCAAACUCAUCACACUUGAUGAGUUAUGAACGGACAAAUAUUAAAAAAAAA